rnacentral:rRNA from 1 species
UACGGGGGGGGCGAGCGUUGUUCGGAAUUACUGGGCGUAAAGGGCUCGUAGGUGGCCAACUAAGUCGGACGUGAAAUCCCUCAGCUUAACUGGGGAACUGCGUCCGAUACUGGAUGGCUUGAGUUCGGGAGAGGGAUGCGGAAUUCCAGGUGUAGCGGUGAAAUGCGCAGAUAUCAGGAGGAACACCGGUGGCGAAGGCGGGUCUCUGGGCCGAUACUGACGCUGAGGAGCGAAAGCGUGGGGAGCGAACAGG